ACGCUCGACACCUACUGGAGGCAGCAGUGGGGAAUAUUGCACAAUGGGGGAAACCCUGAUGCAGCGACGCCGCGUGGAGGAAGAAGGUCUUCGGAUUGUAAACUCCUGUUGUUGGGGAAAAAGAGGAUGGUACCCAACAAGGAAGUGACGGCUAACUACGCGCCAGCACGCCGGACGGUAAUCUGAGGCGGGCGUGGACGAAGGC
rnacentral:rRNA from 1 species